rnacentral:rRNA from 1 species
GAUGAACGCUGGCGGCGUGCCUAAUACAUGCAAGUCGAGCGAACAGACGAGGAGCUUGCUCCUCUGACGUUAGCGGCGGACGGGUGAGUAACACGUGGAUAACCUACCUAUAAGACUGGGAUAACUUCGGGAAACCGGAGCUAAUACCGGAUAAUAUAUUGAACCGCAUGGUUCAAUAGUGAAAGACGGUUUUGCUGUCACUUAUAGAUGGAUCCGCGCCGCAUUAGCUAGUUGGUAAGGUAACGGCUUACCAAGGUAACGAUGCGUAGCCGACCUGAGAGGGUGAUCGGCCACACUGGAACUGAGACACGGUCCAGACUCCUACGGGAGGCAGCCGUAGGGAAUCUUCCGCAAUGGGCGAAAGCCUGACGGAGCAACGCCGCGUGAGUGAUGAAGGUCUUCGGAUCGUAAAACUCUGUUAUUAGGGAAGAACAAAUGUGUAAGUAACUAUGCACGUCUUGACGGUACCUAAUCAGAAAGCCACGGCUAACUACGUG